rnacentral:lncRNA from 1 species
CUAGGAGAGAGAAAGUCAUGGUUACAUGCACCUAGUGUAUGGGUGCAUCCAACGAGAGUUGUCUUCUUAUGUGUUUAUAGAAGACGAGAGAAUAAUAGGAGAGAUUCAAAAAGAUGGCUCGGGUUAUAGCUGCUCUAUGCAGAAGAGGAGUCAGGUGUAAUCUUCUCUUAUUUAAUGAAUCUUAUUUUACCCGCAUAUUUUCUGUUUGGUUGUUUUCUCUCUUUUAUGAUUGUAUCAGCUUCUGCUGAGGAGACGGAUUUAUAGUAAAAAUCCGAUUCGACGCUUCCGUUGCGGAAUCCCAACAAUCGGUACCGAAUCAACAACAAUCCGUAUUUGAGCAGGUUGCGAAUUCUCAAAAUUCGGUACCGGGGUGAGUACCAGAUUCCCAACAAUUGGUAUCAGAGCUUAAGAUUACCGAUUUGUAGGAGAGAUCGACGGAGAUGGCCACGAAGUUCAAAAUCGAGAAGUUCGAUGGCAAGAACAAUUUCGGAUUGUGGCAUAUUAAAGUACGAGCAAUCCUCGUACAGCAAGAGUUGGAUGAGACGUUGAACAGAGAGG